rnacentral:rRNA from 1 species
UACAAAACACUUCCGCCCGGGAACUACGAGCUCCAGCUUAAAACCCAAAGGACUUGGCGGUGCCCCACCCACCUAGAGGAGCCUGUUCUAUAAUCGAUAACCCCCGCUUAACCUCACCACUUCUUGCCAAUACCGCCUAUAUACCACCGUCGCCAGCCCACCCCGUGAGGGAAUAAGUAGGCACAAUGAUCACCACCAAAACGUCAGGUCAAGGUGUAGCGUAUGAAGUGGAAAGAAAUGGGCUACAUUCUCUAAUCUAGAGCACACGAAAAAUCAUAAGAAAUUAGAUUGGAAGGAGGAUUUAGUAGUAAAAAGAAACAAUAGUGUUCUUUUUAAAUUGGCCCUGGGGCGCGCA